rnacentral:lncRNA from 1 species
GUUCAGUGCAUCAGUGGGAAGUGAGUGACUGGAGGUUUAUCUAUCACUGUGAAGGAGACCGACAUGUGCGCAUGUUAGCGCUGCAUUCGCUCUGGCUGUCACACCAAGUGGUGUGACCAGGACCUUGGGAGUUGAGGUCUCCUGUCCCGGAGGCUGGGUUGUCCAAGCUCAAGGACCCAGGCUCUCUGUAUGCAGUCCAGGCUGGCUGUGAACUCACUGUGGAGCUCAGGGUUAAAACCAGUUCUCCACUGCUCGUCCUCCUCACAGUUCUGCUGAGGUUUAACAGACCCAGUCCUCCAAGCAGAAUGUCUGACCCCCUGACAUGAAAUGUUGGUCCAUGACACUUUUUGAGAUCCUAGCCGCUUAGCCAAACCUGGGCAUUGUCAUGCUCUGAGAAAUAAACUGGACACUGGACAGAGGUCUGGCUUGUUCCUGGGGACAGGAAGUAGACGGGGCGGGAGGUCUCCCCCACCUUGGGGUCGCAGAAUGGGGGAAUUCACGUGGGACUGGUGUGUGGUUUCAUUCUCGACAGCCCUGAUUUUAAAACACUUUUAAUUUUGAAUAGACUCAUAGACGCACAGGAAGUUGCAAAAGUUUUGUACUCUGAG